CCUCCGUGGCUUGUUCAGGCCAAAGCGCGGAGUCCGCUUGUGUCGUCCGUUGUGAUGGCUGAAUCCCGGAGAGUUCCGUUGACCACUUUGUCCGGCGAUGCGCCCUCAUCCUCCGAGCAGCCGGCUCCGGCCCGGGGGUCUCCGUCCAGCGCCCCGCAGGGCGAGGAAACCCGUUCGGACCGACCCGCCGACACCAACACGGUCCGACUGGUCCUCACUUUGGUUGAGCCCGAUGAGCGGAGCUUUCCGGAGUUCAGCUACGCUCAGCUUGCUGACAACGAGGAAAUAAUAUCUGGCAUUGAGCAAAAAAUGACCAACCACACUAAAGAAAAAGGCCCACUGAGCAAAUCUGAAGAGAAGAGGGAGAACGAUGAGGUCGCUGCCAUUGCAAGGAAGCUGGAGGAAAAAUAUGGGGGUGGCAAACUCAAGAAAAAGAAGGAUCGAAUUCAGGACUUGAUUGAUAUUGGAUACGGUUACGAUGAAGAGGAUUCUUUCAUCGACAACUCUGAGGCUUAUGACGAAUUCGUUCCAGCCUCCAUCACAACUAAAUUUGGUGGAUUCUAUGUAAAUUCGGGCGUGCUGCAGUUCCGCCAGGCUUCUGACACUGAGACCGAGGAGCUCACAACAGAAGAGAAAACACUCGACCCUUCAAAAAAACGUAAACUCAACAGUGGACAGGAUAAGCCAAAGAAGAAGCAGUGCAGAGCAAGUGGUGAGAUGAAAAGGAAUAUGGAUCCUAAGUCAAGCACUUUGUCUGAAAUUGGACCGAACGACGAGAUGAAGAGGAAAAAGAAGAAGAAGGGUGUUUGCACAUUAAGUGUCACAAGCAUGCUGAAGAAGUUUCAAAGAGAGAAGGAGAAGGAGCGACAGAAAAUGGAAAAAGAUAAUCAGAGGGCAGCAGGGAUCAUGGGUGUACCCGCAAUCCCUCUAUUCCCGGCAGAUGCGGCCGGCGGUGGAGGCUCGGGACUGACCGACCCUCUCCUCAGUUUAAUUGGAUCUACCAAUGACCACGCUCUUAUCCAAGCAGCCAACGCAGUGGAUUUUGAUAUUGAUUUGGUGUCUUUAUUAGAUGCCAGUGAAGAGACUUUGUCACCAAAAUCUGUUCCUCAGCCUGCCACAGAGACGCAGCUUUUCCAACCCCAAACCAAUAAUCCUAGCCAGUUAAAUGCUGCUCUCACUCAAGCCCAGCCUCCAAACACAAAGACUAAUUCGCAGCCAAAGACUCAUCCUGAACAAAUCCAGCUCGUGUCAGAAGCCAGUUCCACCUCACCACAUCAGUGUAUGUCCCUGCCAGAGGGACUUACCCCAGGACUGGAAGACAGCAUUCGGACACUUAUGGCGGCUGCCAAGACAUCAGAGGGAGAGUCAAAAUUCAAGUUCUUCACUCCCGAAAUCAACUCAAUCCUGCUAGAUAUUGAGUUGCAGUGUCGGGAACAGGGGGGCCAGUUGCGCUCCAGGGUGUACACACACCUGUCAUCUUUCCUGCCCUGCAGCAGAGAUACACUCCUCAAACGUGUAAAGAGGCUGUUCCUCACACACAUGGAGGAAUCCCCUAAUGUGGAGGAUCCCAUGCAGAAACUUGUGGAGGCCAUUGGCAAAGUUAUGCCCGAACAGAUUGCGUGUUACCAUGCCGACUGCCAAGCAUAUGAACAAGUCAAGGCUUCAAAGGCAACAGAGGAGGGGAAUAAGGGCAAACAGAAUGUGAAUGUCGGCCCAGAGGACAAUGUGGAGGAGAGGGGCGGGAAAAGAGGAGGUCCUAAGAAGUUGUUCAAAUGGGAUCAGGAGAUCAGGGAGUGCUUGUGCCAUGUGUUAAGGCCAAAAAUGGACAGGUAUAAAAAGGAAAGGAAAGGAAGCCAGGAGAUAGAGGAGUACCUCAAGACGCUGCUGGACAGUGAGAUCAAACCGCUUUGGCCAAAAGGCUGGAUGCAAUCUAGGACGCUGAUAAGGGAGAGCAGGAAAUUAGGCUUCUUCACUUCAUUACCAGUAAAGAAGGCCAGAUCUGAUAAGAAGCAGUCCUCUAUCAGUGGGGCCUCCACAAUGUCAGACGUUCUCCCGGAAGCGCCGCCACUGAAAGGAGAACUCCCCCACGAAACAGAUGAUGUGGUUACUGAAGGCUCAAAUAUUUCCAAUUCUGUGUCACUUGAUGAUGUGAGGAAGGAAGCCGCUGCCUUGAAAAAGUUGGAGGGUAAAAAAGGAGGAGGGGUGACAGCGGAGGCUGGUUCCCCUACACCUGCGGAGUCAGGCGAACAUGUGGUCAACGCCGUAUCUGCUCCGACUCAUUCGCUUCUGGAUCUUCUUGCUGAUCAAGCGCUGGUUCGAGAUCGACCUCUCCCAGUUCCCCAGGAGCUCCUGGCAGCAGCUGUUGCAAAAUACAAACGUUCAGGUCAGCACUGGAGCUUUGGGGUGGAUAACAAAAGUCCUCGUCUGUCUCCUCCAGCUCCUCAUUCCAGCCCAGUCGGUUUCCCAGUGAGCGGGGUAUGUCAGGUUGUUUUUCCUGGGUUACUGCAGCCUGGAGACUUGGCCAAGCAUGUGGAUGCUGGCCAGGUGCACAUCAUUUCUGAUGAUUGUGACAUUACCAUACAGUGACCACUCCCGAAGCAGAUUUACACGCAUGAGCAGAAAUGCUGGUUCCUCAGCUUCUCUUGGAGACCCUGGAAGGGCUGCUCAGUGACAACUUCCAAACGUUUAAGUGGUACCUCUCGCUGGAUGUCUUGGACGGCUGCAAGCCAAUUCCUAAGUCCCUUCUGGAGAAGGCAUCCCGGGCCGAGACUGUGAGUAAGAUGAUGGAGCGCUACCACGAGAAGUCGGCCGUGAACGUCACUGUUGAGAUCCUGAAGAAGAUAAGCGUCAACGAUGCCGCAGAGAGGCUGAGGAACGCAUACGCAGAGGGAAAAACAGCUGCACCCUCCACCAGCUCAUCUGCUUCGGCACCUCCUGCUGCUCCUGCCACAAUGUCUGCUCAGCAAGGAGGUGUGAUCAUCGCCCCGACAGUCACUGGUUCCACCUGUGGAUCAUGGAAUAUAACCAUCAGAAAGUCUUGAUUUGUUGAUUAUUUCUUAAUCACGGAACUAAACUGAAACUGUUCAAAUUACCGCAAACCAGACAAACCUGGGGUCCCGAGCGUCCAGGGCCUUGGAGUGAUUCCCCACUUCUCCCAGUUGGCAAUCCGGGAAGCAGGUUUUCCUCAGGGAAUUGGUCAAAUUGUUUUUAAAUAUGGUAAUUGUGUCCAUUAAAAGACAAAUCAGUGAUCUUUUAUAUCAUGUAUUUGAGAGUUUCUUGUUGUCUCAGUCUGGAAAAUUCACAUCUGAAGCUGUUUUUAGAUCUCUCAGAGCAAGUCCAAGUCUAACGAGGACCGUGUUUUUGGACCAAGUACCCUUAGUACAUAUUAAUGGAAAUUGUAUGUAAAACUGUGCCAGAAAAUACUUUCUACUAAAUAAAAAAUGGUAAAACGA